GGCACAAUGGCAGAGUGGUCUAAUGCGUCAGACUUGAACUGUUUCAAGCCUUUCGAGCUAUCUGAUUCCCUAGGGAGCGCAGGUUCAAAUCCUGCUUGUGUCG